GCCUUCGUGGUGUAAUGGUAGCACACUCGGCGCGUAUUCGAAAGGUUCAGGUUCGAGUCCUGGCGAAGGCA
rnacentral:tRNA from 1 species